rnacentral:rRNA from 1 species
UGGGGAAUAUUGCGCAAUGGGGGGAACCCUGACGCAGCCAUGUCGCGUGAAUGAAGAAGGCCUUAGGGUUGUAAAGUUCUUUCGGUAUUGAGGAAGGUUGAUGUGUUAAUAGCACAUCAAAUUGACGUUAAAUACAGAAGAAGCACCGGCUAACUCCGUGCCAGCAGCCGCGGUAAUACGGAGGGUGCGAGCGUUAAUCGGAAUAACUGGGCGUAAAGGGCACGCAGGCGGUUAUUUAAGUGAGGUGUGAAAGCCCCGGGCUUAACCUGGGAAUUGCAUUUCAGACUGGGUAACUAGAGUACUUUAGGGAGGGGUAGAAUUCCACGUGUAGCGGUGAAAUGCGUAGAGAUGUGGAGGAAUACCGAAGGCGAAGGCAGCCCCUUGGGAAUGUACUGACGCUCAUGUGCGAAAGCGUGGGGAGCAAACAGGAUUAGAUACCCUGGUAGUCCACGCUGUAAACGCUGUCGAUUUGGGGGUUGGGGUUUAACUCUGGCGCCCGUAGCUAACGUGAUAAAUCGACCGCCUGGGGAGUACGGCCGCAAGGUUAA